GACGAACGCUGGCGGCGUGCCUAAUACAUGCAAGUCGAACGCACUCUCGUUAGAUUGAAGAAGCUUGCUUCUGAUUGAUAACAUUUGAGUGAGUGGCGGACGGGUGAGUAACACGUGGGUAACCUGCCCUAAAGUGGGGGAUAACAUUUGGAAACAGAUGCUAAUACCGCAUAAAACCUAGCACCGCAUGGUGCAAGGUUGAAAGAUGGUUUCGGCUAUCACUUUAGGAUGGACCCGCGGUGCAUUAGUUAGUUGGUGAGGUAAAGGCUCACCAAGACCGUGAUGCAUAGCCGACCUGAGAGGGUAAUCGGCCACACUGGGACUGAGACACGGCCCAGACUCCUACGGGAGGCAGCAGUAGGGAAUCUUCCACAAUGGACGAAAGUCUGAUGGAGCAACGCCGCGUGAGUGAAGAAGGUUUUCGGAUCGUAAAACUCUGUGUUGGAGAAGAACGUAUUUGAUAGUAACUGAUCAGGUAGUGACGGUAUCC
rnacentral:rRNA from 1 species